rnacentral:lncRNA from 1 species
CAAAUCCAACAAAUCCAACAAAUCUAACAAAUCCAACAAAUCCAACAAAUUCAACAAAUCCAACAAAUCCAACAAAUCCAACAAAGCCAACAAAUCCAACAAAGCCAACAAAUUAAACAAAAUCAAACAAAAUCAAAAACAUCAAAAAAAUCAAAAAUAAAUUAUUUUUUUUGAUAGCCUUUCUUUUUUGUUUUUAAUUAAAAUUUGCUAGUCAAUAUAUGCGAACAAUAUAUGUUUAUAUAUAUAUAUAUAUAUAUAGACAUUUUUAUGAAACACAAAAAUUAAAAAAAAAAAAAAAAAAUUUAUACAUUAAUAAAACAGUAUAUGUUUUUUGUUUAUUUUAUUUUUUUUUUUGCUUAUAAUUUAUUUGUAAUUCUUUGAAAUAAUAUUUUGCUGCUCGUGAUUACUAUUAACAUAAUUGCUGUUACUAUCAUCAUUUUUGUCAUUGCAAGUUUUAACAUAGUUGCCAUAUAUCUAAGGUAAUUAUAAUUAUAAUGCCUAUGCUAGGCAUAAUACCUACCUAUACUAGGUAAAAUUCCUAUAAUCGCAUUCUAUUUCUUUUUUUUUUUUAUUUUUAUUCUGCUUAUAUUUUAUUUUAAUAUUUUGAAUUGCUACAACUGAUAAUGUUAACAUAGCAUUUUUUUUUUUUAAUUUUUAUACUUUUGUACUUUUUUUUUUUUUUAAAUAUUUGAUUAUUUUUGCAUGUAUACAUUUUAUUUACUGUAUGUAUAAAAUUUUAUUAAUUUAUUUAUAAUUUUAUAUAGCUAUUAACUUAUGUAAUUGUUAGCUUACAUUUGUCUCUCUCUCUUUAUAUAUAUAUACAUGUUUAUUGCUCAUCUAAUCAAAUUAGCAAGCAUAAAAAAUAAGGAUACCUUUUCCUUUUUCUUGUUAUUAUUUAUAUGUUAUUUUUACACUAUGAGUUAACAUUUUAAAUAACUAAUCAUAUCAGUAUGACUUAUUUUGAAGCUCACACUAAAAGAAUGGACGCAUGGGUACCCAACAAAAGUCAAGAUGACAUGUUGGUAAAAAUAAAGCUUUUAAAUAAUAGUUACAGUAAUAAUAAAAUUAUAUUCAAAAAGUAUUUGUCAUUUUAUGAAAUAUUUGCCCUUCUACUAAUUUUAUUUUUAAAUAUAAUACCUAAUGAUAAUAGAGACAUUUUUUUUUUCGAAGAAAAACAUAAUAAAAACUUUUUUUUAAGGCUGUUAGAGAGUUAUGAUAAAACGUGUGAUGAUUUAAACAGUUGUAAACAUUUAGUCGAUUCGAAAAAAAAAAUAAUGAUUAUGCAAAAAAAAAGUAAACAUACAAACCAGCGUGUUUGUCCUGAUUGUGAAAACGCGUAUAAUAAAAGCGAUGGUAAUACAUACAAUAUUAAAAAAAAAAACAUUUUAAAAGAUCAGAAAAACGAUAACAAAAUAGAAAAACGCUUUUGUAAUGUAAAUAAUAUUAAGCUAGGUACACAAAACACUAAAAAAAUAGUAGAUAUAGAAAAAGUAGUUGUUAAGCCUAGUGUGAAGGAAGCUCAUGCUAAAUGCUAUGAUAAUUUUUUAAAGGAAAAAAAAAAAUACUUUUCAGAAAAAAUGCAUAUUUUGAAUAGUAUUAAAAAAUAUACAUGGAACGAAUUAUACAAGAAUUAUAAAACAAAACAUAUUCAUAUACUAUGGAAACAAAACAUGUGGCGUGAAUGGAAUUAUUAUAUCAACAUGAUAAAAAUUAAAGAUGAUAUACAAGACAUGUAUUAUUUUAAUGAAAUAAUAAAAAGUGGUUACUCAUAUGAUAAAGUCAUAAUUAAAUUAAAAAAAAAACUGAAUUCCAAAAAAUUCAUAUUAUUACAAGAUUGGGAGAAGUUUUUGGAAAUACACUUGAAAGAAUGGGAGACAUAUAACAAAACGGAUAGAUAAAAA